rnacentral:lncRNA from 1 species
AUCAAAUUCCUGGUCAGUGUGUGAAGGUAGAGGACACUGAUCACGCAAGGUGCAAAUGAACACAUAAACAGAACUUGAUGUAAUGGGAGACUGGACCGCAGAGAAAUGGAGCAAACAGCGCUGUGUGUAUGCUCAGUCUGUGGAGCCUGUUGGCAGGGGCAAGCGGGGUGGAAUUCUGCCAGUACCCACUGGCUGGGCCUGCCCCAAGCCUGGCCUUUUUCUAAAGCACACAGAGCUUUAAAAAGUUCAACUGAAUUUAUUCAAGCUAAUUCAACCAGCAUUUCACCAUUAGAGGCACCUACCUGGUGA